AGUGCUGUUUGGCAUGUGAGUACUCAAUCAUUUAUUUUGUUCUGUAUUUGCUUCUAUCAUCUCUUGUUUAUUUCAUAUCUUGGUUUAGAUUCUAUAAUACAAUUGCCAAAGCAUGUAGUCUUCUGUCAAGCUUACUUGGGAAAUAUGUGUAUACAGUGGUUCACUAAUAACCGUGCAUGAAUGUUAUCCUGGCAAAUUAUUUCAGUAAUAGGCAUGUAUGAUUUCUAGGUUUCAUGUUGAACCCCCUCCCCCCACCUCCCAUUCUUUCCUGAAGUUUUACACCAUUAACAUUGAUCUUAACUUUAUUUUUUUUUUUUUAG
rnacentral:misc_RNA from 1 species